AUGUUGAAACACCGGUUACCAUACGAUCACAGAAGUUAAGCAAAGUUGAGCCUGGUUAGUACCUAGAUAGAUGACCGCUUGAAGAUACUACGUGCU